rnacentral:rRNA from 1 species
GGAAUCUUCCACAAUGGACGAAAGUCUGAUGGAGCAACGCCGCGUGAGUGAAGAAGGUUUUCGGAUCGUAAAGCUCUGUUGUUGGUGAAGAAGGAUAGAGGCAGUAACUGGUCUUUAUUUGACGGUAAUCAACCAGAAAGUCACGGCUAACUACGUACCAG